UCGAACGGGGUGGGGGGCAACUUCCAUUCAGUGGCGAACGGGUGAGUAACACAUCGGAACGUACCUCGUAGUGGGGGAUAACGCCGCGAAAGCGGCGCUAAUACCGCAUAUGCUCUGUGGAGGAAAGCAGGGGACCGCAAGGCCUUGUGCUAUGGGAGCGGCCGAUGUCCGAUUAGCUAGUUGGUGGGGUAAUGGCCUACCAAGGCGACGAUCGGUAGCUGGUCUGAGAGGAUGAUCAGCCACACUGGGACUGAGACACGGCCCAGACUCCUACGAGAGGCAGCAGUGGGGAAUUUUGGACAAUGGGGGCAACCCUGAUCCAGCCAUGCCGCGUGCGGGAAGAAGGCCUUCGGGUUGUAAACCGCUUUUGGCCGGGAAGAAAAGGUGGUGGUUAAUACCUGCCAUUCUUGACGGUACCGGCAGAAUAAGCACCGGCUAACUACGUGCCAGCAGCCGCGGUAAUACGUAGGGUGCGAGCGUUAAUCGGAAUUACUGGGCGUAAAGCGUGCGCAGGCGGUUCGUUAAGUUCGUCGUGAAAGCCCCGGGCUCAACCUGGGAAUGGCGAUGGAAACUGGCGGGCUGGAGUGUGGCAGAGGGGGGUGGAAUUCCACGUGUAGCAGUGAAAUGCGUAGAGAUGUGGAGGAACACCGAUGGCGAAGGCAGCCCCCUGGGCCGACACUGACGCUCAGGCACGAAAGCGUGGGGAGCAAACAGGAUUAGAUACCCUGGUAGUCCACGCCCUAAACGAUGGCAACUGGGUGUC
rnacentral:rRNA from 1 species